GAUGAAGAACGCAGCGAAAUGCGAUACGUAAUGUGAAUUGCAGAAUUCAGUGAAUCAUCGAAUCUUUGAACGCAUAUUGCGCUCUUUGGUAUUCCGAAGAGCAUGCUUGUUUGAGUAUCAGUAAACACCUCAUCCUCUUCUUGAUUUUUCAAAAGGAGGGUGGACUUGAGCUAUCCCAACAACCUUUACCGGUCGGCGGGCGGCUUGAAAUGCAGGUGCAGCUGGACUUUUAUCUGAGCUAAAAGCAUAUCUAUUUAGUCCUCGUCAAACAGGAUUAUUACUUUUGCUGCAGCUAACAUAAAGGAUAAUUGUCCUCUUUGCUGACUGAUGCAGGAUUUUACGACACUUUAUGUGUUGUUCAACUCGAUCUCAAAUCAAGUAAGACUACCCGCUGAACUUAAGCAUAUCAAUAAGCGGAGGA
rnacentral:misc_RNA from 1 species